GAUUACGCGGCCUUAACUGCAGUCGAGCGGGGAAGGUAGCUUGGUACCUGACCUAUCGGCGGACGGGUGAGUAAUGCUUAGGAAUCUGCCUAUUAGUGGGGGACAACAUUCCCAAAGGAAUGCUAAUACCGCAUACGCCCUACGGGGGAAAGCAGGGGAUCUUCGGACCUUGCGCUAAUAGAUGAGCCUAAGUCGGAUUACCUAGUUGGUGGGGUAAAGGCCUACCAAGGCGACCAUCUGUAGCGGGACUGAGAGGAUGAUCCGCCACACUGGGACUGACACACGGCCCGAACUCCUACGGGAGGCACCAGUGGGGAAUAUUGGACAAUGGGCGGAAGCCUGAUCCAGCCAUGCCGCGAGUGUGAACAAGGCCUUUUGGUUGUAAAGCACUUUAAGCGAGGAGGAGGCUCCUUUAGAUAAUACCUAAAAAGAGUGGACGUUACUCUCACAAUAACCACCGGCUAACUCUGUGCCAGCAGCCGCGGUAAUACAGAGGGUGCGAGCGUUAAUCGGAUUUACUGGGCGUAAAGCGUGCGUAGGCGGCUUUUUAAGUCGGAUGUGAAAUCCCUGAGCUUAACUUAGGAAUUGCAUUCGAUACUGGAAAGCUAGAGUAUGGGAGAGGAUGGUAGAAUUCCAGGUGUAGCGGUGAAAUGCGUAGAGAUCUGGAGGAAUACCGAUGGCGAACGCAGCCAUCUGGCCUAAUACUGACGCUGAGGUACGAAAGCAUGGGGAGCAAACAGGAUUAGAUACCCUGGUAGUCCAUGCCGUACACGAUGUCUACUAGCCGUUGGGGCCUUUGAGGCUUUAGUGGCGCAUCUAACGCGAUAAGUACACCGCCUGGGGAGUACGGGCGCAAGACUAACACUCAAAUGAAUUGACGGGGGCUCGCACAAGCGGUGCAGCAUGUGGUUUAAUUCGAUGCUACGUCGAAGAACCUUACCUGACUUGAC
rnacentral:rRNA from 2 species